rnacentral:rRNA from 1 species
AUUGAACGCUGGCGGCAUGCUUUACACAUGCAAGUCGAACGGCAGCGCGGGCUUCGGCCUGGCGGCGAGUGGCGAACGGGUGAGUAAUUCAUCGGAACGUGCCCAGUAGUGGGGGAUAGCCCGGCGAAAGCCGGAUUAAUACCGCAUACGACCUGAGGGUGAAAGCGGGGGACCGAAAGGCCUCGCGCUAUUGGAGCGGCCGAUGUCGGAUUAGCUAGUUGGUGGGGUAAAGGCUUACCAAGGCGACGAUCCGUAGCUGGUCUGAGAGGACGACCAGCCACACUGGGACUGAGACACGGCCCAGACUCCUACGGGAGGCAGCAGUGGGGAAUUUUGGACAAUGGGGGCAACCCUGAUCCAGCCAUGCCGCGUGCGGGAAGAAGGCCUUCGGGUUGUAAACCGCUUUUGUUCGGGAAGAAAUCCUCUGGGCUAAUACCCCGGGGGGAUGACGGUACCGGAAGAAUAAGCACCGGCUAACUACGUG